rnacentral:rRNA from 1 species
GACGAACGCUGGCGGCGUGCUUAACACAUGCAAGUCGAACGGUAAGGCCCUUCGGGGUACACGAGUGGCGAACGGGUGAGUAACACGUGGGUGAUCUGCCCUGCACUUCGGGAUAAGCCUGGGAAACUGGGUCUAAUACCGGAUAGGACCACUGCCUGCAUGGGUGGUGGUGGAAAGCUUUUGCGGUGUGGGAUGGGCCCGCGGCCUAUCAGCUUGUUGGUGGGGUGAUGGCCUACCAAGGCGACGACGGUUAGCCGGCCUGAGAGGGUGACCUGCCACACGGGGACUGAGAUACGGACCAGACUCCUACGGGAGGCAGCAGUGGGGAAUAUUGCACAAUGGGCGCUAGCCUGAUGCAGCGACGCCGCGUGAGGGAUGGCGGCCUUCGGGUUGUAAACCUCUUUCAGCACCGACGAAGCGCAAGUGACGGUAGGUGCAGAAGAAGGACCGGCCAACUACGUGCCAGCCGCCGCGGUAAUAC